AAUAACAAUAAUAUGAUGAUAAUAUGAUAUACAGUUCAUGGUUCAACCUCCUUCCUACUUCAAUGUCACACACAUAAUCCUGACACACAAUUCAGAUUGC